GUUUUAACAUCCGGUGUAAAGACGGAAGUCAGCUGUUAGCUCUCCCAGAUUUCCUCCUGUUACUUAGAACCGAAAACAAGGCGCGUGACACCGUAGAAGAAUAAUGGCCACGCCUCCCCCCCUCUCCUCCCUGCGGUUCCUCCUCCCCCCCCUCCGCCUGCUGAUGGCAGCCAUGUGGCGGGUCGCCCGGCAGCGAAGCGUGAGGCAUUAUGGGAUGCUUGAGGACUUUGUCGCCAUGGUAACCGAGGCGGUCCCGCAGCUGUUGACGGACAGGCAGAGGAGCCUGCUGCUGCUGGCUCUGAGGGCCAAGGUGACCCUCUGUGACCCAGAACACCUGGACACAGUUCACUCAGUCUGCAAGGCAACGUCUGACCACCAGGUGGAUGAACUGUGUUCUGCUCUGGUGACUCUGACUCAGAGUCCAGAGGACAGAGUCCGCCUCCUGCAGGAGGUCUUCCACCACGGGUUUGACUCCGCCCUCCAGUCGCUCAUCUCUGACUUCCUGUCCAGGAUCGACCAGCUGUUUCCUGUUCCCGACUUCAAACAGGCGGCGUCCUGGCUCGAUGCCGCCCCUGGUGGUCUGGAGGACUGUCUGCAGGAGGCGGACUGCGAUGAGCUGAGGGAGCUGCUGACCAAUCAGAGCUGUCUGCUGGGCCACGCCACCACCACAGUCGGUCAGGACACGGAGAAGAUCCUCCUCUGCGCCUGGUCACACCCCCUCUUCACCAAACCGACCAAUCCUGAGCCUCCUCUCAGCGACGCAGAGGUCCAACCGGAUCCUCCGCCUGACGUGGAGCAGGUGAAGGUGGAGUUGGUGGUGAUGACAGAGGACGAAGAGCAAGAGGAGGUGGAGGAGACUGUGAUUGGUCAGAGCGAGUCGUCCAAUGAGAGCUCAGCGGUGGGCGGCAACGAAUGUCCGGUCACACCUGGCAGGUUGAAGGACUCACCUGGAGAGUUUGUGGACCAAUUAGAGGACACCGCUGACCAAUCAGAGCAGGGCGGCUCUGAGGUCACGGCUAAUGCUCUGUUCAGCAUUUCCCACAAUUCUCAGCGGGUCGCUCACAAAUGCCCUCAGUGUGGAAAAUGUUUCAUCUACCGUUCUCAGGUGAUCCGUCACCUGCGUACCAAUAAGUCGUGCGGGUCUUCCUUGUCGGCGACUGGAGCUGUGAACCUGCAGAGUUUACCUGAGGAAGAGCCCCGCCCCCCGGUGCCCCGCCCCUCCAGGACCCACACCUGUUUCCAGUGCAACGCCACCUUCAGAACUAAAGCCGAGCUGCUGUCUCACCAGCGCAGCCACCGGGCCCGCCCCGUCUACCAGUGCGGCCAGUGUGACAAGGAGUUCCACCACCUGUCCAGUCUGACCAAUCACAAGCAGACGCACCUGGACCGGGGCGGCUUCACCUGCAGCCGCUGCGACAAGGUGUUCGAGUCGGCCAAAGAGAGAGACGCCCACCGGCUGCAGCACCGGCUGCCGGACCUCACCUGUACGGUGUGCGACCAGACCUUCAGCUCUCAGACGCAGCUGCUGCGACACCUGCAGACCCACUCCGUGGAGGGAGCCGAGCCCUGCUACAACUGCCGCUUCUGUGACCAGAGCUUCUCAGGUGUGACCCAGCUUCGUAUCCACCAGCGCACACACACUUUCCGCUCGUACCAGUGUGACAAGUGCAGCAAGACGUACGGCUCCCUGACCGGCCUCCACUCCCACCGGGCAAGCCACGGCGCCGAGAGCCGCUUCCUGUGCCCGCAGUGCGGCAAGCGCUUCAAGACCCGCGACGGGCUGGAGGGCCACCUGAGGACGCACACCGGGGAGCGGCCUUACCGCUGCCCCUACUGCCCCAAGGACUUCACCGCGCUCGCUGGACUCAACGUGCACGUGCGCCGCCACACCGGGGAGCGACCGUACGUGUGCACGGUGUGCGGUAAGGGGUGGCCCUCCGGAGGAGACCUGCAGAAACACAUGAGGACUCACACGGGGGAACGGCCGUACGUCUGCCAGGAGUGUGGCAAGGGCUUCUCCAUCUCCUGUCACCUGACCGAACACCGCCGGAUCCACACCGGUGAGAAGCCCUUCUCGUGUCCAGAGUGUGGUAAAUGCCUGAGGAGGAAGUUCGACCUGAAGAAGCACCUGCUGUCUCACAGUGACGUCCGUCCUUACGGCUGCUCCUUCUGUCCCAAGAGCUACACCCGUAAGACUCACCUGAACCGCCACCUGCUGACUCACGGGGCGGCGGGCGGCGAGGUGGUGGUGACGGAGCACCCGUAAGACUCACCUGAACCGCCACCUGCUGACUCACGGGGCGGCGGGCGGCGAGGUGGUGGUGACGGAGCACCCGUAAGACUCACCUGAACCGCCACCUGCUGACUCACGGAGGACGGCCUCUGUUCAUACAGACGCUUUCUGUAUCUGUGUCGUUACCGUGACGACAGCGGCGGCUGCAUGAAAACUACCUGAAGAUGUUCAAUGUGUUCUGAUUAUUGAAUUGAGUGUAUCUAUGCUCUAUAAAAGCUCUCAUGUGUGCUUCUGUCAUGUGACCUCAUUUAAACCAAUUUUAUUAGCAUUAAUAGCACCUGAUGCCAGAGACUGUAGGAAUAUUUAAUGAACACAACCGUUUAAUUCACGAUAAACACAGCUGAUGUAUGAGUGUUAUAAAGCAGUUAUUACAAGACAUUCUGGGGGUUAUGAAGUCGGACGCCCCCCCCCUCCUUGACCCUCACCUCCGUGUUAAUUGAGCAGCGAGCAGUGUGAAGUAUGGGGGUCACAUGACUGCGGUCCAGACCAGGAGACGCCCUGCUGUCUCCUCCAGACGUUCGUCCUCUGGAGGAUCACACAUGAUGUUUGUGUUGCUACUGCUCAUACCAGUCUGUGUGCGUGGUUGUGUCCUCCAGACGUUGUGAGUCCUGAUGUCUCCCCGCAGGAUGGAAACCAAGCCGGUGAUCUUCUGCCUCAAGACGCUGCUGCUGCUCUACUGCCUCGUCUUCUGGGUGACCGGUGUGGUGCUCCUGUGCGUGGGCCUGUGGUGGAGGUUCAUGUUGGGCCCCUACACGUCUCUGAUCUCCAGCGGCCCGUCCAACGCGCCGUACAUCCUCACCGCCACCGGAGCCGCCAUCGUGCUUUUCGGGCUGUUCGGCUGCUUCGCCACCUGCAGGGGGCGCUGCUGGAUGUUACGGCUGUACGCUGUGUUUCUGUCUCUGGUCUUCAUGAUUGAACUCAUCGCUGGAAUCUCUGGAUUCGUCUUUCGCCACGAGAUUAAAGGGACGUUCCUGACGACGUACAGCGAAGCGGUGCUGAGAUACGAUGGACGGGACGACAGGAGUCUGGCUGUGGACGGGGUUCAACGUAGACUGCUCUGCUGUGGAGUUCAUAACUACACCAGCUGGCUCAGCUCGCUGUAUUUCCCUAUCGGAGGGAUUCCUGCCAGCUGCUGCGUCACUUUCUCCGACUGCAGCGCCGCCGACCUGAAGAAUGCCACGCUGGCCGCUCGCAAAGUCCACAAGCAGGGUUGUUAUGAGUUGGUGACGUCCUCCAUCGAGGGGAACAUGGGAGUCAUCGCUGGAGGGACGUUCAGCCUCGCCUUCUCUCAGCUCAUAGGGACGUCUCUGGCUUGCUGUCUGUCUCGCUUCAUCAGCACCAACCAGUACGAGAUGGUGUGAGACAG